AAUCAAAAUGGAAAAGAUCUCAGAAGGGAAGGUGAACUCAAUAAUUUUCUGCAUAUCUGUUAUAUAAGACAGAAGAAGAACAGGAAUGACAAGAAAAAGGAGUAGAAGCAGGGACCCUUGGGAUACUAUUUCCACGAGGCCAGUGAUGGAGAUAAAGAGAGACAGACAGGUUGUGCUUUUACAAAAGAACACCACCCAGGACUGAAGUGUUUCUGAAUCAACCCACAGUGUCCCUGAUGAGUCUGAUUUGCUCUGCUGUAAUGGAACAGUGAAUUAGCCGUGACAAUGG